CGAGCCGGGCGGACGGCCGCGUGGAGUCCCUUACGGGGCUCCCCGAGGAACGUCCGGGCUCCACAGGGCAGGGUGAUGGCUAACGGCCACCCGGGGUGACCCGCGGGACAGUGCCACAGAAAGCAGACCGCCCAGCGCUCAGGCGCUGGGUAAGGGUGAAACGGUGGUGUAAGAGACCACCAGUGCCCAGGGCGACCUGGGCAGCUAGGUAAACCCCACCCGGAGCAAGGUCAAGAAGGGGGCACCCCGGUGCCCCUGCGCGGAUGUUCGAGGGCGGCCCGCCCGAGUCCGCGGGUAGACCGCUGGAGGCCGGCGGCAACGCCGGUCCUAGAUGGAUGGCCGUCACCGAGGGGUCCGCGAGGCCCCUUCGGGACAGAACCCGGCGUACAGCCCGACUCGUCUG
rnacentral:RNase_P_RNA from 1 species